ACGAGAAAGUGAAGUCAAGUCCGCCAUUUCAUCUUCUUCUUUUUAUCGGAAAAGAAAGGAAUCAUGCAAGGAUGCAAGCUGAAGGAAAGGACAACUCUCACAUCAGUGCAUUACUAAUUGUUUGACUUCAUCAUCAAGCACACCAGGUGGUGCGGUGCACAGUGGAUAGCUCUGUUGCCUCCCAGCAAAAAUGUUUCUGGUUCGAGCCUCGGCUGGGUCAGUUGGCAUUUCUGUGUGAAGUUUGUAUGUUCUCCCCGUGUUGGCGUGGGUCUCUUCCGGGUGCUCCAGUUUCCCCCACAAGACAUGCGGUACAGGUGAAUUGGCUCAGAUUGUGAUGGACCUGGAAUGCGACACCAGUUACUCUUAAGUCAAGAACCAAAUGAAGCACCAGAGUACAGAUUAUGGAGAUAUCUGAAGUUGAACUAACUGGAAGCAGGGAACCAUACUAAUAAAGUUCCUUAAGCAGGUUCCUUGUAAAGAUGAACCCAGGGAAGGAUCGAAAGUGGAGAAGACCAGAUCAAGAAAGACUACAUCAAGAUCUGCGGUCAGUUCAAAGGAUGUUUUGUAUUGGACUGUUUUUUUUUGGCUUUGACCCUUGCUUGCCCCUGACCUCACUCUUGGACUGCCCUGUUGGAUUUUCAGUUUAUUUAAUAAUUUUUUUUUUUUUUGGUUCUGGGUAGAUGCUAAUAAAUAUUUAGUUGUAAUUAUUUAAGCAAUAUGUUUUUGUUAAAUAUGCGAUUUCUGUGUUUGUUCUGU
ensembl:processed_transcript